ACUUUCAACAACGGAUCUCUUGGUUCUGGCAUCGAUGAAGAACGCAGCGAAAUGCGAUAAGUAAUGUGAAUUGCAGAAUUCAGUGAAUCAUCGAAUCUUUGAACGCACAUUGCGCCCAUUAGUAUUCUAGUGGGCAUGCCUGUUCGAGCGUCAUUUCAACCCUUAAGCCUAGCUUAGUGUUGGGAGACUGCCUAAUACGCAGCUCCUCAAAACCAGUGGCGGAGUCUGUUCGUGCUCUGAGCGUAGUAAUUUUUUAUCUCGCUUCUGCAAGCCGGCCAGACGACAGCCAUAAACCGCACCCUCUCGGGGGGCACUUUUUUAAUGGUUGACCUCGGAUCAGGUAGGAAUACCCGCUGAACUUAAGCAUAUCAAUAAGCGGAGGAAAAGAAACCAACAGGGAUUGCCCUAGUAACGGCGAGUGAAGCGG
rnacentral:rRNA from 1 species